CCCUUUGGACUUUGCCUGUAGGUUUGGUGCUAGCUCACUCUGCCCCUCCUCCUCCCUUUAACUCUCUCCAUUGAAUGUUAUCCAUUCACUUAAAACACUGCUUCCCGU
rfam:Myotis lucifugus cont2.29499, whole genome shotgun sequence.